rnacentral:rRNA from 1 species
GGAUUAGAUACCCUAGUAUAUUAUUCUACUUAAAAUUAUUAUAGAUAGAAAUUUAAAAAUUUUGGCAGUUGUUUAUUAAUUAGAGGAGCUUGUUAAAUCAGAAUCUACUCUUUAUAUUUUACAAAAAAAAGUUUAUUUAUCUCCGUCAUUAAAAUUUAAUUUUAUAAAAAUAUUACUUCAAAUUUCAGGUCAAGAUAUAGCAAAUUUCUGACAUAAUUAGCUACAAUAAUAAAAAUUAUAAAUUUAAAUAAGAAAUUUUAUAUAAUGAAAAUGAAUUUAAUUGUAAUUUUAAUUAAAAAGUUAAUAUGAAUUUCAAUAAAUAAUGUACAUAUUGCCCGUCACUUCUGUUGUUAAAUGGAAUAAGUCGUAACAAAGUAA